rnacentral:piRNA from 1 species
GCUGGGAAUUGAACUCUUCUGGAAGAGC